AGAAAAAUAAAAAAACCUAGACCUAGAGGGAUGGGUUCAGCCGUAUUUCACAUGGAGAAGACCUUCAUCUUCUUCAACGAAUUACACAAAACAAGGAGCAGACCUUCAUCUUCUUCUCCAGGACAAACCAUGAGAAGAACCCCAUGAGAUCUUCUUCUUGAACACAAGACAAAAAGAUACAAAAAAUCCUAAGAGAACAGUCAGCUACCACAUCAACCUUCACCUGCCGGCGACCACUCCACACACAUCCACGACCAACUAACUCCUCCAGCUCCAGCCAUCGGCGACCCCUUCAACACCGGCAAACUGACCCCCUCUCUCUCCGGGCUGACACGAACGACCCCUCAUCUCAUUUUCUUGAAGCUAACACACACAAGAGCACUCCAAUCCCAAAUGUUUCUAGAUCUCAAGCAUCUAGGUUCCAAUGCCGGCGAGCUUCACCGGGAACCGGCGGAAACUAAUCCGAAAAUCCCCUAAAAACCAGCUCGAAAACUAUCCUUUUUUCAUCUCAAAACGGAACUGAAAAGUAGUCGACCCACAACCAUCGACCCCUCGAUUUUUUUCUCUUGCAUACCAGCUGAAACUCACACGAAAAGGUCACUAUUUGUUCAGCUCUGAAAUCUUACAUUGAAGCUGUGCUCGAAGUCGAGCUUCGCCGAAAACCUGUUAGCUCGUCAUCUUUCAUUCGACUCCAUCAAUUCUAACUGAGGUUCUAGCCGAUUUUGUUGCUGCUCGUAGAGUUUGCUGAUUUUGGGUUGCCGGUUCGAGUUUCGCUCGCGUUUUCGGAUUCAUCUCAUUGUUGUCUCCUUCAUUCGGAUUUACACUUCGGCAAAGCUAUUUCAAUUUUCGGGUACUAAAGAACAAUUUCUUAACAGGUUCGAUCCUUCAGGAGGUUGAUACGCACGGGAAGGGCUUGAUAACAGAGUGAUUUGAUUUGCUAGAGAUCCAGUUGUAGAGACCAGUUAUCAGCAGUAGAUUUGUUUGUUGGAUUGAGCAUCGAGAGGUGAGGCAGAGCUGCAUAUAUCAUUGGCCACAGUUUGACUUGUCUUUUCUUAUAUACUGUUGUUUCAGUUCAAACAGUAUUAUUAUUUAGUUUUUUCAAACCUAUAUUCUGUAAUAGAGCUCAUGACUUCGUAUUUACCAGUUUCUAGGAGAUUUACCUUAUAUUGGCAGUAUUUUGUUACAUUAAGGUUUCAGACUUAUGUUAUUUCUAUAAUUUAUGUUGUUCGGAUUCUU